CAGCCGCCACGGUAAUACGUAGGGUGCGAGCGUUAAUCGGAAUUACUGGGCGUAAAGCGUGCGCAGGCGGUUUUGUAAGACAGAGGUGAAAUCCCCGGGCUCAACCUGGGAACUGCCUUUGUGACUGCAAGGCUAGAGUACGGCAGAGGGGGAUGGAAUUCCGCGUGUAGCAGUGAAAUGCGUAGAUAUGCGGAGGAACACCGAUGGCGAAGGCAAUCCCCUGGGCCUGUACUGACGCUCAUGCACGAAAGCGUGGGGAGCAAACAGGAUUAGAUACCCGUGUAGUCCCUGUCUCUUAUAC
rnacentral:rRNA from 1 species